CUUGUCCAACAAGAGAAGCAGGCUUUGGGGAGCAGGCCUUUGAAAUGGCCUGGAGGCAUAGGCAGGCCUUGGAAAGAAGAGAAGAGCAGCAUGGUGGAAUGGCCCCCAGCCAACGGGAAAGAGGCCGGGCUCUUCACAGACACAUGUAAUCUGGGGGAAGGGGGAGGGGCAAUACGGGAGGUGGGGCUUCCUAACUGGUCACAAAUACCAACUGCAUUCCGGGAAGGUAAGGAGCCAGCACAGGGCUCCCAGCACAGACGUGAAGAGAUCAAGUCAAGUUUGGAGGGUGAGACAGACUGAGAGGGAGGCUGAAGAGGAUGUGGAAAGGACCUCCCCUCUGAAGACAAGGAGAGCAGCUCCCGAGGGAGUGUGAAGUGAGUCUACUAGAAAGGGACAGAAGUGUCCCCACAGUCGGAGAGAGGACGAACCAGCCCACAAGGUCAGGAAGAGAAGACCUACACAAGCCAACAAGGACCUCAGAGACUAGACAGCUAGCUCCCACCACACCCUUUACCCAACACAACAUAGAGAUGGAAAAUUUAAUAAAACUUCAUGAAUUAGGUAA